rnacentral:sRNA from 64 species
GUUUGCACUUGUCGGGGAAGGGUGAGAACCUUCGAUUAAGGUUCGACUCGAGCGAAAGCGAGAGAACGUUGCCAACGGCAACGGCCCGUAGGUUGAGGAGCGAAGCGACGAAUAAUCCUUCCCCCACCACCA